GUGAAAUCGUUGAAGUGGAACCGGAGAGAGUUGACGUAGUAUGGUGGAUAAGUAUUGCAAGAAUCGCUUCAAACAAUGAAUGUGAUCGAGUAAUAUGUACGUCACCAAAGACUGCGCUGACAGCAUCGACUACACGCUCUGAACUGUGUUGACAUGUUGCCUAUUCUAGUAUAUAGAAUGGUGUCUUGUGUUACGUGGUGAAGUUUGUUGUUAUGUUGUUGAUGUUGAUAAUUAUGAUUAUACACCAAGUAUAAUUAUGUCAGUGUAAAAGUCAACCACCUCUCCGACCCGUCUUGAAACACGGACCGAGGAGUGUAACUUGUACGCGAGUCAUUGGGUGGAAAAACCUUAAGGCGAAACGAAAGUGAAGGCACGGUUAACCGGCUGACAUGGGAAACGUGCGGUAUUGUUAGCGAGACGUUACACCAUGGCCCUGUCUUGUCUGCAUGCAGAUGGGCAGCGGUAGAGCGUACAGGUUGCGACCCGAAAGAUGGUGAACUAUGCCUGAGCAGGACGAAGUCAGAGGAAACUCUGGUGGAAGUCCGUAUCGGUUCUGACGUGCAAAUCGAUCGAUAGACUU
rnacentral:rRNA from 1 species